rnacentral:lncRNA from 1 species
UUCGCCGGGAUGCCCUUUUUUUGCCUGGACUCUUUUUUUCUUUUUGUCCAGCGGGUCAAUUUAUGCGAAGUAUUUUUUGACUACAUCUGAGUUGACAGGAGACGGAAAAUCUUCACCAUCCAUAGUUGUAAGCAUCAAGGCUCCACCGGAGAAGACCUUCUUCACAACAUACGGACCUUCAUAAUUAGGAGUCCACUUGCCCCUGUUAUCUGUACCGGGAGGGAGGAUCCU